CAGCCGCCGCGGUAAUACAGAGGGUGCGAGCGUUAAUCGGAUUUACUGGGCGUAAAGCGUGCGUAGGCGGCUUUUUAAGUCGGAUGUGAAAUCCCUGAGCUUAACUUAGGAAUUGCAUUCGAUACUGGGAAGCUAGAGUAUGGGAGAGGAUGGUAGAAUUCCAGGUGUAGCGGUGAAAUGCGUAGAGAUCUGGAGGAAUACCGAUGGCGAAGGCAGCCAUCUGGCCUAAUACUGACGCUGAGGUACGAAAGCAUGGGGAGCAAACAGGAUUAGAGACCCGCGUAGUCCCUGUCUCUUAUAC
rnacentral:rRNA from 1 species